AUCCUCGGCCAUACUACGUAGGAAGUGAAGGUUCCGCGUCCCGUCCGCUCCGCCAAGGCAAAUUACUCGCAGUCGGAUAGUGCCCUGGUGGGGGACCACAACGGAAUACCAGAUGUUGAGGUUC
rnacentral:rRNA from 1 species